ACAAACUUGGUCAUUUAGAGGAAGUAAAAGUCGUAACAAGGUUUCCGUAGGUGAACCUGCGGAAGGAUCAUCACUGAUUCGAGGGGUAUGCGUGUGUGUGUGUGCGCGCCUGUGCACGCGCCGCCGCUCCCCAACCCAAUCCUGUGUGCACCGUUUCACGGUCAAGAAGAGAGAAGACCACGCGCCGCGCGCACGCACGCGUGGGGCUGCACUGUGUGCAUUGUGUGUGUGUUGGCGACGGCAACGCCGCCGCCAACCGCAUCAUACAUAUGCACGCGCGCGCAACCUUGUCCACACGUGCAUGUAUGUGGGUGGUGGGUGUUCUCCUCUCUGUAUGCAACAACACACUAUCUUGUGCAAUCUCUGUCUAACGUACAUCAUGCGUGUGUGCGCGUGUUAUACGCACGCGCGCCACCUCUAACAACACACACAACUUUCAACAAUGGAUCUCUUGGCUCUCGCAUCGAUGAAGAACGCAGC
rnacentral:misc_RNA from 1 species